rnacentral:rRNA from 1 species
CCUACGGGAGGCAGCAGUAAGGAAUAUUGGUCAAUGGACGCAAGUCUGAACCAGCCAUGCCGCGUGAAGGAUUAAGGCCCUCUGGGUUGUAAACUUCUUUUAUAGGGGACGAAAAAAGGGCAUUCUUGCUCACUUGACGGUACCCUAGGAAUAAGCACCGGCUAACUCCGUGCCAGCAGCCGCGGUAAUACGGAGGGUGCAAGCGUUAUCCGGAUUUACUGGGUUUAAAGGGUGCGUAGGUGGGUUGGUAAGUCAGUGGUGAAAUCUUCGAGCUUAACUCGGAAACUGCCAUUGAUACUAUCAAUCUUGAAUCAUCUAGAGGUAAGCGGAAUAUGUCAUGUAGCGGUGAAAUGCUUAGAUAUGACAUAGAACACCAAUUGCGAAGGCAGCUUACUAUGGAUGCAUUGACACUGAGGCACGAAAGCGUGGGGAUCAAACAGGAUUAGAUACCCUGGUAGUCCACGCCCUAAACGAUGGAUACUCGACAUUUGUGAUAUACAAUAAGUGUCUGAGCGAAAGCAUUAAGUAUCCCACCUGGAAGUACGACCGCAAGGUUGAAACUCAAAGGAAUUGACGGCUGAGACGAGACGAGACGACGACGAGGGAGGAGG